AGAAACAAGGGGAAAACACAGACAGACGCAUUACACAUGGAGCCUAGGACUGAAUAAUUGGCUAUGCUACCGUAGGUAUUGCUGGGGAAGUUGCAUGAAGAUGGACAGAUAAACAGACAGACAACUGCUAAUCUUUUAUAGUUCUUUCUAAAUGGAUUAUGGUCUGACUUUUGUGAGGUGGGUGCCUGCUUUUUCUGGUGCUGCAUAUGAGAACAGGCUGGUUCUCCAUGCUGGAGUAAGGAAAGAAGCUUCAGGGCUUCGGCUAACCCUCAUACACACCAU